rnacentral:rRNA from 1 species
UUCCAGACUCCUACGGGAGGCAGCAGUGAGGAAUAUUGGUCAAUGGCCGAGAGGCUGAACCAGCCAAGUCGCGUGAGGGAAGACGGCCCUACGGGUUGUAAACCUCUUUUGUCGGGGAGCAAAGCGAACCACGUGUGGUUCAUUGAGAGUACCCGAAGAAAAAGCAUCGGCUAACUCCGUGCCAGCAGCCGCGGUAAUACGGAGGAUGCGAGCGUUAUCCGGAUUUAUUGGGUUUAAAGGGUGCGCAGGCGGAGGUGCAAGUCAGCGGUCAAAUUGCGGGGCUCAACCCCGUACUGCCGUUGAAACUGGCGGGCUGGAGUUGGAGAGAAGUACGCGGAAUGCGCGGUGUAGCGGUGAAAUGCUUAGAUAUCGCGCAGAACCCCGAUUGCGAAGGCAGCGUACCGGCUCCACACUGACGCUGAGGCACGAAAGCGUGGGUAUCGAACAGGAUUAGAUCCCCCGUACG